AUACUAAUUCACACCUAUAAAGCACUGAACAACUCUAGCCCCUCUUAAAUGUAAGAGGGGCUAGAGUUGUUCAGUGCUUUAUAGGUGUGAAUUAUAUCUA